GUGGCACUGCACGAUGGCUCCAUGCCACGGACCUUACCCUCCAUGAUAAGGUCCGUGUCACGCUAAAGGAAAAUUUUGCGGAGGCCAAAAAUAGUAAGCCUCUGCGAUAUAUUCAUUUCAUGAAGCCUAUCACGGAGACUAAGAUCUGUAACACGGAGGGGGUGCUUUUUUGGGUUUUUUCAUAUUAAAAGUCGGGUUUUGACUGAAUUAAACCCAUAUAACGCGAACCCCUUUUUUAAACACCUCUGAAUUUCCUUAAAUCACCACAUCAUCUCCCAAAUCUCUUAACCUAACAUGCCACCUUCCCUAAUUUCUCCAAAUUCUCCAAGCGUGUUAUGACUUAAGAACCAAAAUAAAGAACUCCUCUUCUCUUUAAAAUCUCGACACAUUGAAGGGAUUGGUGCAUUCACAAAAGGUUACGGUGGUUAGGAAGUCUCUUGGACCCACGACUCCAUCCAACAGUCGGAGCUUUUUGGGUUUAGCCGGCUACUAUAGAAGAGUUAGGUUGAUCGGUUUCGUUCGUUGGUUUGUGCUGUUGUGGUGAAGUGGUGAGCUUUCAUUCCCCAAAAGGCUUAGGUUCAGAAGAGCGAGAUUCAGAGUAUGUUUAGCUGUUAGAUCUUGUAGCAGUGGGUGCAAUAGUGAGUCAUCAUCAUCCAAGGAUAUUCUAUUUUAGUGUUUUGAUGAUUUUAGUAUACGGAGUUAGUUGGGGAAUUGUCCCUUUAACUCCACAGUUCAGACAGUGUAGAGGCUUUUCAGACAAAUGUAUUGAUAUUUAGUUUUCAGUACUGUAUAUUUAGAUGUUUGAACCUUAUGGCCAGAUUUAGCCAGUUUCCGCAUUUAUCGUAUUAUAUUAUACAAUGAACAGAUACGGAUAUCAGUGAAGGGUUAGCUUGUGGUCCUUCGGGGUCAUGAGCACCGUAUGAAAUUUCGGUUCAUGGGA